rnacentral:rRNA from 1 species
AUGAGAGUUUGAUCCUGGCUCAGGACGAACGCUGGCGGCGUGCCUAAUACAUGCAAGUCGAACGCUGCUUAAGAAGAAACUUCGGUUUUUUCUUAAGCGGAGUGGCGGACGGGUGAGUAACACGUGGGGAACCUAUCUAUCAGCGGGGGAUAACACUUGGAAACAGGUGCUAAUACCGCAUAUGGCUUUUUUUCACCUGAAAGAAAGCUCAAAGGCGCUUUACAGCGUCACUGAUGGCUGGUCCCGCGGUGCAUUAGCCAGUUGGUGAGGUAACGGCUCACCAAAGCAACGAUGCAUAGCCGACCUGAGAGGGUGAUCGGCCACACUGGGACUGAGACACGGCCCAGACUCCUACGGGAGGCAGCAGUAGGGAAUCUUCGGCAAUGGACGCAAGUCUGACCGAGCAACGCCGCGUGAGUGAAGAAGGUUUUCGGAUCGUAAAGCUCUGUUGUCAGCAAAGAACAGGAGAAAGAGGAAAUGCUUUUUCUAUGACGGUAGCUGACCAGAAAGCCACGGCUAACUACGUGCCAGCAGCCGCGGUAAUACGUAGGUGGCAAGCGUUGUC